rnacentral:rRNA from 2 species
CACCGCGGUGAUACGAAAGGCUCAAGCUGACAGCCCACGGCGUAAAGCGUGGUUAGGGUAUACAAAAAUUAAAGCCGAACGCCCCCUAGGCUGUCAAAAGCACAUGAGGGUAUGAAGCCCAUUUACGAAAGUAGCUUUAUUCUCCCUGAACCCACGAAAGCUAAGAAA